UUUCUUUCUCCUUCUCUAUUCUCUUUUUCAUCAUCUUUUCUUUCUUUCCUAUGUUUCUUACAUGAGAAUGAGAAUCAUAAAUUCAUGAAUGGAUCGGUAGAUUGUGGUUGAUGGGAAUGUUGUUUGGCUCGAGGUAACUAUAACUCAAUUUCUUCGUCUUUGAACUAAACAUAGUUUCAAAGGUUUGAUUUUGAAUGAUAUAUAUCUAUUUAUCUAUUUAUCUCGGACCAGGCUUCAUUCCCGUCAACUUGAUCUUCUUUUAUCUCUUUAAAUCUAACGGUUCUUACAACUGCUGCACCAUAUUCUGAAAUUAGUUAUUUCUUUUGAUCUUAGGAACAAGGUGGCGGCUGCAAAUUGCAGUUCUUUUUUGCUUUCUUCUUGUCUCUUUUUCUUUAUUUGUCUCAGAGAUUGAUAUUGAUCACUCUGAGUAAAGUGUAGUAUAUGGAUCUAAUCUCUAAAACUAUAGCACAUUUUAUAUUUUUCUAUCAAUUCAAUUUUUAUUUAUACUAGAGUAUUCACCACUAUAUAUUUUGUCUUUGUUUGGUUGCAAUGGCAUUACAAUUCUAAGUCCUAAAACAUGACCAAAA